rnacentral:lncRNA from 1 species
GCUGCAUCACCAAAGUAGGCUCCAAACAAUGAACAUUAUCUAGAUGUCCUAAUAACAGAGCAAGCAAUUUCAUCAGACUUUGACCUCGGAUACUAUCUUCAGCCACUUGCCGAGGACAUCAACAUAUUACCAAUGACUACAUUUGAUGACUCAUCAAAACCGCCACGGAGGGCUAGGAAGGAAUGAUCCUAUUGGCUCUCAUUCGAUCUACCA